rnacentral:lncRNA from 1 species
AUGCGGGCUGGAGCAAAGUUAUCAUCCAAAACAAAACCAACAAAGUCAGCCGGCAGGCGAGUCCCGGCGCCUGCGACAAAUCCUGCAGGAGGCACAGCGAGAGAACUCCGUGGCCCAGGGAAGUCCGCGCGCCGUGGGAAGGGGACCCGGACUCCCGCCGGGGCCGCGGCCGGGGCCGGGGCGGGAUCGGCUCCUCCUCCGGAGUCUCGGGGCCGUCAACUCCGUCCGCACCCGCACGGCCGAGCCCUCGCGUCCCCGCUCUCUAACUGGGGCUGCCGGUCGCGCGUGGCCGCAGCCUCGGCCGCGUCUCGGGCCGUCCCGCGCCGAGCUCGCGCGGCCCCAUGUCCCCCGGCCCGGGGACCCCUCGCGUCUUCCUCGCCGCCCCCACCAGGCUCCGGGGCACCGGGACGAGCCGCGGGCGCCGGCGGAAAAGGAGUCCCGCGACCUGAAGUGACAGGGACCGGGGUCUCUCAGGGCCGCGGGCUGCUCCCCAUCCCUUUGAGGCCCGGACUCUUCCGCAGUCAGCACGGGCGGCGGCGGCGGCUCCUCCCCGACGCUCCGGUAGGCGGCGGUUCCCGCGGGGGGGGCGGGAGGCUCCCGUCCGGCCCGGCCUGGUGGAAGCCUCGGCACGGGAGGCGACGGGCGGCGGCGGCGGCGGCGACUCCCCGCGCGGAACCGGCUCGCCGGGUGCUGGGGGCCCUCGCGGGAGCGCGCGCAGAAGGCGGAGGCGGCCGCCGGCGGUGGGGCGGAGGUGGGGGGAGCGACCGACGACCGCGGGCGCGCGCGCGGGUUCCGGUUCCGGUUCUGUCUUCCCGGUCGCGUCCAGCGCGAGCUCGUGCUUCCCCUCCCCCGCCGACUUUUUUGGCCUCCUCCCCUCUGACUUCGGGAAGCCGCCUCACCCGGGAAUCCCUCCGCCGGGCCGCAUCGCGCAGCGCCGGCCGCCCGCGCCCGCCCUUCGCUUGCGCCGCCCCCGCGCGGACGCCUCCGCCUCGGCCUCGUUUGGGGGGAGCAGAAAAGUAG